UACGUAGGGGGCAAGCGUUGUCCGGAAUUAUUGGGCGUAAAGCGCGUGUAGGCGGUCAUCUAAGUCUGGUGGGAAAUCCUGGGGCUCAACCCCAGAAGUGCACUGGAUACUGGACGACUAGAGGACGAGAGAGGAAAGUGGAAUUCCUGGUGUAGGGGUGAAAUCCGUAGAUAUCAGGAGGAACAUCAGUUGCGAAGGCGGCUUUCUGGCUCGUUUCUGACGCUGAGACGCGAAAGCGUGGGGAGCAAACAGG
rnacentral:rRNA from 1 species